AGGAGCAGCAGGAAGAAGGUGAAAUGUUGCAGCUUAUCUACCACUCUUACUGUGUCAGGAGUGGUGUGACCCUUCUAUGCCUCUUAGUAUUUGUUUUCUGAAGCAAGGAGGCUCAAGAUUCAGUACAGAAAUAUUUACAUUUGUUGCAAUGUCUGGAUAAAUUUACCUUUUAUUAAUUUACUGUGGUUUUCUUUUCCUCUUCUGCUACACUAUGUCGGCUCUCUGCUGGCAGGUCCAGGCGAGAGGAGAGAGCCUGGUCCAGCCAAGUCUCUCUGGGACUGGUGAGAUGGAUCUGUGCACUGCUGAGGUUGGAGAGCCAUGGCUGGAAGAUAUGGGGCCACCCUCCCUCAGCCCAGCAAGGCUUAAUUGCAGCAGCAGCCUUUCAGGUUCUCCACUGAAUCUGGAGCUGGAAAACUGCCUUGGGGAGUCCUGCCAGGGCCCUUGGCCAAUGGAAACAGCACUCCCUGUCACAGGCACUGGAGUGUGCAAAGGAGGCAGAGAGAAAGUCAGAGGCUUUGUCUGGCUUCCCAAGAGAGACAGGGGUCCUGCACUCAACUCAGUAACUGAGUGGCUACUGGCCAGCUGCCUUUGGAAAGUAAGUGAGCCAUUUCAGCAUGGCCCUUUGUAAUUCAGGACUGAGUUACAGGGACUGGAAAUUAAAACUAUAAGUGGAGCCUCAGACCACAGGGAGUAGGGUCGUGGGCCUGCCAGCUUCCUGGCACAGUGCCCGAAUGCUUGCAGUACUUGAUAAAACUCACUAACAUUUAGUCGAGAGCAGUAAAAUGUGAAUAAGAUGGAGAUGAAUGCUCCAUAGGGGCAGGGAGAAAUCCAGGAGCAGAUGGUGUGAUAGGAUUCGAGGCAGCAGUGCAGGGUGAGCUCUUGACAACUGCCCUGUGGCUAGGGUGGAGUCUCCUGAAGAGGGAGGAAAGGAGGGAGUCUGCCACACCUCGCCAUGGCAGCGGACUCCUUUAGGGGGUCUUAGGGAUGAAGCCACUACAUUUGUGCUGUUCAAAGCACUACUAGUUAGUCAACAUCCAUUCAAAGCACUUUAAAAGCUCACUUUCUCCUCCUCCCUCUCCCUCCUCUCCCUCCUUCAUCCCCUAUCUCCUCUUUAUUCUCUUGCUGUUUUCCUCAUCAGCUCCUUCUGCAGGAGAAGAAACAGGAUCACUUACAAGGGAAAAAAAUAGCCAUAUUCCACCAGGCGGUCACUUCACAGCAGGCUUCACAUCGUAGAGUAAGCACAGAACUAUGCAGCAGUAGACAGAACAGGUUUAAAAAAUGUUUAGAAGCUGAACAGCCUGGUAGCUGGGGGGAAGAAGUCUGCAAGCAGGAACUGGGAGGGGAUAGCAUUUGGGAUGUAAAUAAAUAAGUAAAUUAAUUAAUUAAUGAAGAUGUAUGCUCUCAGCUUCUCCUGCCACCUGCCCACUGCUUGUUGUUAUUCUUCUCCAUCAUGAUGGACUCAGCCUUCUGGAACUAUAAGCCCAAAUAAACUCUUCUUUCUAUAA